rnacentral:rRNA from 1 species
GACGAACGCUGGCGGCGCGCUUAACACAUGCAAGUCGAACGGAAAGGCCUGCUUUCCCUUGUGGAUUGCGGGUACUCGAGUGGCGAACGGGUGAGUAACACGUGAGUGAUCUGCCCCCAACUUGGGUAUAAGCCUGGGAAACUGGGUCUAAUUCCCGAUAGGACUGCAGGGUGGUGCCUGUGGUGGAAAACGAUUUUCUAGUGGUUGGGGAUGAGCUCGCGGCCUAUCAGCUUGUUGGUGGGGUAAUGGCCUACCAAGGCGGCGACGGGUAGCCGGCCUGGGAGGGUGGACGGCCACAUUGGGACUGGGACACGGCCCAGACUCCUACGGGAGGCAGCAGGGGGGAAUAUUGGACAAUGGGCGGAAGCCUGAUGCAGCGACGCCGCGUGGGGGAUGACGGCCUUCGGGUUGUAAACUCCUUUCGACCGCGAGGAAGCCACCUGGUUGGAAGGGUGGUGACGGUAGUGGUAGAAGAAGCACCGGCUAACUACGUG